CCCAAAUGCACACAAACGUCACACACACACACACACACACACACACACACACACACACACACACACACACACACACACACACACACACACACACACACACACACACACACACACACACACACACACACACACAAAUUCUGACACAUACUGUAUAUGCAGACACAUAUGCCAGGGUACAAACACACACGGCUCUGCACAUUAAGGCAUAUAUAAGGAGAAGCAGAGGUAGAGAGAGGAGGAAGCAUGAGUGUGUCCAAGACAAACAGGGAAUGAGGCUUCAGCUUGCCAAAGAGCUUCUGAUCCACCCACCCCUACUCUCCACACUGUUUAGUCCAUGUCAGAGUCACUCCCCUCUCUCUCGCACUGAGCCCACAGCACAGGGAUCGGCUGCUAUGGCUGAUAUACAUCUGAAGGAGAGAGAAAGGUCAGGUGGACUUCCUUGUUGUUUGGUACACUGCUAGUACACUGUUCUGAACUGCUUUUACCCUAAAGCUUCUGAUGCUGAACUGAGAUUGGCUCUUCUAGCCUCUGUUUCAACCCUGGUUCAGUGUAUCGUUGUCAUGUUAUCUGUACCUGAUGACGCUAACUGAUCUAGUCAGGCUAUUCAAUCCCACAUGGUUGCACUGUGACCUUAUAUAACUGGUCAGAUCACUCCGGACCAUACUGUACCUACUGUAUGAGGCGCUGUUUAUGUAAACUGUCUCCCUGUGCCAAGUUGUUCCUAAAACCAUUUCUCUCAAACCGUUCUUCCUCCUUUACAGAUUAAUUCAAGGGAAAACAUAAGGGGCAAGUGAUCAUUACCAGUGUAUCAUUACCAGUGUAUCAAUACCAGGGAUCAUUACCAGUGUAUCAAUACCAGUGUAUCAAUACCAGGGAUCAAUACCAGUGUAUCAAUACCAGGGAUCAUUACCAGUGUAUCAAUACCAGGGAUCAUUACCAGUGUAUCAUUACCAGUGUAUCAAUACCAGGGAUCAUUACCAGUGUAUCAAUACCAGGGAUCAUUACCAGUGUAUCAAUACCAGGGAUCAUUACCAGUGUAUCAAUACCAGGGAUCAUUACCAGUGUAUCAAUACCAGGGAUCAUUACCAGUGUAUCAUUACCAGUGUAUCAUUACCAGUGUAUCAAUACCAGUGUAUCAUUACCAGUGUAUCAAUACCAGGGAUCAUUACCAGUGUAUCAUUACCAGUGUAUCAAUACCAUGUAUCAUUACCAGUGUAUCAAUACCAGGGAUCAUUACCAGUGUAUCAAUACCAGUGUAUCAAUACCAGGGAUCAAUACCAGUGUAUCAAUACCAGGGAUCAUUACCAGUGUAUCAUCACCAGUGUAUCAAUACCAGGGAUCAUUACCAGUGUAUCAUUACCAGUGUAUCAAUACCAGGGAUCAUUACCAGUGUAUCAUUACCAGUGUAUCAAUACCAGGGAUCAUUACCAGUGUAUCAAUACCAGGGAUCAUUACCAGUGUAUCAAUACCAGGGAUCAUUACCAGUGUAUCAAUACCAGGGAUCAUUACCAGUGUAUCAUUACCAGUGUAUCAAUACCAGGGAUCAUUACCAGUGUAUCAUUACCAGUGAUCAUUACCAGUGUAUCAUUACCAGUGAUCAUUACCAGUGUAUCAAUACCAGGGAUCAUUACCAGUGUAUCAUUACCAGUGAUCAUUACCAGUGUAUCAAUACCAGGGAUCAUUACCAGUGUAUCAUUACCAGUGUAUCAAUACCAGGGAUCAUUACCAGUGUAAAUCAAAUGAUGAAGCAUCUGAUUUAGUUCUGCAGUCAACAGUGACAUGGUAAGUCUACAGGAGACAGCAUCUCCGCGCACACACACACACACACACACACACACACACACACACACACACACACACACACACACACACACACACACACACACACACACACACACACACACACACACACACACACAGAGAGAGAGCGAGAGGAAUACCUUACUCAUCAGGAGUGAGUAUCAUAUCAAAUGCCUGUACUGUUACAUUUAUUCAACUGGAUUGAAAAUAAAAAUAUAUCUGCUAAAAUGUUGAUGAUGACAGCAUUUAGCUUUUUAUGUGAAUAAGAGAACAACUUGUCUCCUCUUUAGACCCUCCAGCAGCAGCAUCCAUUAAAUAUUUCAAACAAAGAAAACUGCCAUUGCUACUGUAUAUCUGUCUUCCUCUCUGUCUGUUUUUCAUUCUCUCUUUUUCUCCCUCUUCCUCUCUCUCUAUUUUUCUCCCGCUUCCUCUCUCUAUAUUUCUCCCUCACCCUCUAUUUUUCUCCCUCUUCCCUUCCUCCCUCCCUCCCUCCCUCC
rnacentral:lncRNA from 1 species